rnacentral:rRNA from 1 species
AACGCGAAGAACCUUACCAAGGCUUGACAUACACGAGAACAUCCCAGAAAUGGGGGACUCUUUGGACACUCGUGAACAGGUGGUGCAUGGUUGUCGUCAGCUCGUGUCGUGAGAUGUUGGGUUAAGUCCCGCAACGAGCGCAACCCUCGUUCUAUGUUGCCAGCACGUAAUGGUGGGAACUCAUGGGAUACUGCCGGGGUCAACUCGGAGGAAGGUGGGGAUGACGUCAAGUCAUCAUGCCCCUUAUGUCUUGGGCUUCACGCAUGCUACAAUGGCCGGUACAAAGGGCUGCAAUACCGUGAGGUGGAGCGAAUCCCAAAAAGCCGGUCCCAGUUCGGAUUGAGGUCUGCAACUCGACCUCAUGAAGUCGGAGUCGCUAGUAAUCGCAGAUCAGCAACGCUGCGGUGAAUACGUUCCCGGGUCUUGUACACACCG